rnacentral:rRNA from 1 species
GGUUUAUAGGGUACCUAGACUGAAAACCAAGCCUUAAUCGGGACUAGUUUUCUAGAGUUUUAUGUGAGAAAAUUGAACGAUCAGAGUAGAGUCAAAAUUCGUUAAUACUGGUAAGACGGACCUCGGCGAAGGCUAUUUUCUAUGUAAAAACUGACGUUGAGAUACGAAGCCCAGGGUAGCAAGAAGGAUUAGAUACCCUAGUAGUCCUGGGAGAAAAUUAUGAGUGCCAUAGGUUAGAUAUAUGAUUAAUCUAUAAAUGAAAGUGUAAGCAUUCCACCUCAUGAGUAAAGCGGCAACGCCCAAAUUGAAAUCAUUAGACCGUUUCUGAAACCAGUAGUGAAGUAUGUUAUUUAAUUCGAUGAUCCGCGAAAAACCUUACCACAUUUUGAAUAUUAUUAAAUUUUUACAAGCGCUGCACGGCUGUCUUCAGUUGAUAUCGUGAGAUUUUGGUUAAUUCCUUUAAUUAACGAAAACCCUUGUUUUAUUUUUUCAAAUAAAACUGUUCACCAUUUAUACCAUAUAGGAGAAGAUAAUAGGGACCAAGACAAGUCAUUAUGGCCUUAA